GUUCAAUGGAAUCCAUGCCUAGGAUCAGAUAAGCUGUGAAAAGGGAUCCCUGCAGUGACCUGCUGAAGGAAGCCACAACAGCAUUUAUGAAGUCAAUGAGUGUAGAGUAGUGUAAAAAUUAGUGUAUAAUAGGGGUGCAGGAAAAAAACAAUUUGGGCUCGAAUUGUGUUUCUAACAUUGAACUGUCGCUUGGAGCUUUUUAACUGUUGCUUGGAGCUUUUUAACUGUCGCGCAGAGCUUUUUAACUGUCGCGCAGAGCUCAGCUACUGUUGCGCGGAGCUCAGCUACUGUUGCGCGGAGCUUUUUAACUGUACCACAGGGUUGUUGUUUUUUUACUGUACCACGGGGUUUUGGUUGUUGUUUUUCGCCCGUUCUCCAGGUACACGGUCAAUUCCGUAAUUGUAAAUUGUUCCUGGGUUUCUCGAAAGGUGCUAUAUAGCUGUAGUACUUCCUGUAUUCAUUCAUUAAGAAGUUAGUGAGAAGGGUAGAAGUGAGAGUAUAAGCCAGAAAGGAGUUUAGAAAGAGGUGUGGAAGAAAUGAUAUGUGUAGAAGUUGAGUUAUCCGUUGUCGACCAGAGGAGGAUGGGUUUCUCUUUGGAGUCUUGGUUCCUCCCAAGGUUUCUUCCUCUUGACUUGAGGGAGUUUUUCCUUGCCACAGUCGCCAUUGUGCUUACUCUAAAGAGGCUCGGACACGGAUCAACCAACUAUUUAGUGUAGAAGAAAGAACUUGAAAGGAAACUGGAGACAACCACUCAGGAGGGCUUGGGCUUGUACUGUUUCAUGAAGACCCAGAAAAUAAACAAUAAAACCCUGCA